UAGAACUCCAAGGAAGCGUGUUGUUGCCUUGACAACCGUGUUCCGACAGGAGGGGCCACGUUUCCAUCUUUCUGAACAGAAGGCUCGAAGAUGAAGGGCUGGGGGGAAAGCCAGCCUAGUCUCUAUGUCUGUGGGAUGAAGAAGAUUCUGGGGAUGGGCUCAUGCCCAGAGAAGACGGAAAGAAGUGUGCAUGGUUCACUGGAUGCCCGCAAAGAGUCUCCUGUGGAGGGAAGACGUGAUGUCAAGCCUGGCAUGGGGCAUGCCCAUCCGGCUGAUCUUAACAAGUGCUGACGGGAGCCUCCAGCCAAGGGACCCAGAAUGAAGAUCAGAGAGACGAGAAAGACAGUGCUGGUAGGAAACACGUCUGGGCAGACAGGGAGCAUGUGGGGCCUGGCCCCAAGCACCAGGUGAUGAUGAAGCUGCCGCCCAGAAAUCACACUUCAAGAACCUCUGCUCCAAGAGCUUAGCAGGAGAAAUUAUGGAGAGAAUGGCACAGAAUUAAAGUCAGAGGGAUGGAUUUCUGUAGCGGUCAGACCCAGGUAUGGUUAUUUAGAAUCUUGACAUGUUAACGCUUGGGACUUCCCAGGU